ACCACCAUCUUGACCUCUAGCAGCAGACUAAUUUUGCUUCUUUUGAACUUUGUAUAAAUGGGAUCAUACAGUGUGUCUUCUUUUAUGACUAUCUUCUUUUUUUUUUUUGGUGAGGAAGAUUGGCCCUGAGCGAACAUCUGUUGCCAAUCUUCCUCUUUUUGCUUGAGGAUGAUUGUCCCUGAGCUAACAUCUGUGCUAAUCUUCCUCUAUUUUUUGGCAUAUGGGACACCUCCACAGCAUGGCUUGAUGAGUGGUGUGUAGGUUCGUGCCUGGGAUCCAAACUUGUGAAUCUCAGGCUGCCGAAACAGAGUGCGCAAACUUAACCACUACACCACCAGGCCAGCCCCUGUGACUAUCUUCUUUCAUCAACAUUAUGGUUCUGAAAUUCAUCCAUAUUGAUGCACACAGGUGCAACUUGUUCACUCUGGUUGCUAUGUAGUACUCUGUCCUAGGUGCUAGGGACUGAAUCUUUGUGGUUGCCCCUCCCACUUCAUGAGCAGAAGCCCCAGUCCCCAUUGUGAUGGUAUUGGGAGGUGAGGCCUUCGGGAAGUAAUUCAGCUUAGAUUAGGUAACGGGGGUGAGGCCCUCAUGAUGGCAUUCAUGCCCUAUUAGAAGGGGAGGAGUUAUGAAAUGUUCUGCUUCAGAUCAUCCAAUAUGUAUGAUUUUUCUGUUGGGGUCUAUCCCUUGGAAUGGAAAUGUUGGGUCAUAAAGUGUGUCUAUUUUCAGCCUUGGUAGAAACUACCAUUGUUUUUCAAAGUGUUUGUAGCAAUCAACACUCCCAGCAAUAGUGUACAUGAGUUCCACUUGCUCCAUAUCCUUGCCAACACUUGAUGUUGUCAGUCUUUUGAAUUUUAGCCAUUCUGGUGGAUGUGUAGUGAGAACUCAUUGUGUAUGUAUGUGUGUGUGUUCUUUUUAUUUUGAGAUAAUUGAAGAUUCACAUGUAGUUUGUAAGAAAGUACAAGGAGUUCCCAUGGACUCUCUGCUCAGUUUCCCUCCAUAAUAAUAUCUUGAAUAACUGUAGUACAAUGUCACGACCAGGAGACUGACACUCAUACAAUCCACGAGGGUUUGUCCAAUUUCACUUGACUUUGUGCAUGUGUGUUGUCUAAUUUUAUGUAAUUUUACCACAUGUGUAGACUCAAUAACCAUCACCACAGUCAGGACACAGAACGGUCCUGUCACCAGAACCCCUCCUGUCCCCUCCUACAUCCACUGCACCUCCUUCCCUUCCACACACCCUCAUCCCUGCAGCCACGAAUCUGGUCUCCGUCUCCGUCAUUUUGCCAUUUCAAGAACGUUAAACACAUGGAAUCAUACAGUAUGGAAAAUGUGGAGAUUUGUUUUUCUACUCAGCAUAAUUCUCUUGCGAGCCAUCAAGUUGCCAUGUGUCAGAAUCAUUCCUUUUAUUGCUGAGUAGCAUUCCAGGAAUGAGCUUUUAAAAAGACAAUAAGCAUAUAUUCUCAAACAAUCAUUGAUGGUGGUUUCAUUGAUUUCUUCAUUCACACAGGAUGAUAAAAUAGAUUGUCUCAUGUUCUUUCAUUUGUUCAUUAAUUACACCAGCAUUUAUUAAGUACCAACUGAGUGCCAAGCACUGCGCCAGAUCCUGGGCACCCAAGAGACGUAAAAGGACUCUGCCUGGAGGGAUUUUUCCUAGAGUCUAUGUGGGGAGACAGGCUUAUCAAUUUAAUAAGACAAUCCAGCAUUACAGAUGCCAUGACGGUGAUAGAUACAUUUCAUUUAGGAAUAAAGAAGAAAACCUCUGACUCCAAGAGGAUGGGGAUGGAGAAUGAGUCCAGGAGAUACUUUGUAGGGGCAUGACGCAUAAGCCAAGUCUUGGAAGGUGGAUGGUCUGCCUGAUGGCUUUGAGUGAGAGAGGAAGAAGGAGCAAGAACAGCCGGGGUAUAAAACGGAGUUGAGAAGGAGUCUGUACUCAAUGCAGAACUUAGCACACCGUGCUGGCUAAGCCCGAGAAGUGGGUGGGGCUGCUGAAGAGAAGGACAGUUGGGGAAUGUUACCGUUUUUCAGGAACAUACAUUAUCGGAGACACAGAUUCAAGUUGUUGCCCAGAUGCCAUCAGCAGAAUCCUACUUACUCCAUGUGUCUUACUCCAAGUCUUGCGCACCCCAGCCAGCUGCCUGCACUUCCUCAAAGACCCUUGCAUCAGGCACAGCCAAGGACAAUCACUCAAGUUCCACACUGUCUCAGGAGUCUUCACCUCUCAGUUGUGCCUACAACACGGAACACACACGUUCAUCCAUCCACUCAUCUACUCUGAUGUUCAACACAUCACAUAAACUAUUUGAUGCUAAGCUUUCUUUCUUGCCCCUUGGCCCAAAGUGGGAAUGAGGGGCAUCCCCUAAGUAAUAAUAAUUCAAGUAUUUGUUGCUCUCACUAUGGUACAGGCACUGCUCCAUGCCUUCCACAUGGCCCCUCCUCACAACAGCUCUAAGGUGGGCACUGUCCUCACACCUAAUUUUUAGACAAGGAAACUGAGGCACAAAGGGGUUAAGUGACCUGCCCAAGAUUAUGGAGCUUACGAGCAGCAGGGUCAGGUUUCUCUUGUACGAUCAGUCUUUGGAGUCCAUGCUCUAGUGGUUGGCAGACUCCUGGAGAAGAGGGGCAUGGGAACUCUUCCUGAGACCCGAGAGGUCUCUAGGACCCCGGGCUCAGCCAGGGAGGGGGCAGCCCACCUGGCAGGAGGGGCUGGCAUGACAGCAGAUCCAGAGGUCAUGUUCCUACUGCAUCAAGGCGAGCUCAGUCCUCCAUUUUGAGAGUCUCAUAGGGUGGGGUGAGGGUCCCCAUCAGUCUCCCCGGCAUCUAAUCCAACCCGCUCAAACCAAGCCUUAUGUUAUCAUGACAGUUUCAGCCCACAAGCAUUUCCUAAUUUAAUCACCUAAAGAGAAUCUCAGUACUUUGUAUAGAAAAGUGAGGCAAAACCAUACCCAAGAGGCAUUUUCUCUGGCUAUGGUGCUCUUUUCCAUUUCUGGAUAUUGGCACACGCUGUCCCUCUACCUAGAUGGACCUACCUUUUCCCUCUCCCCCUUGUCCUCAUCCAGUUACCUCCUACUUCCUUAGGAUGCCAGCCCAAGCAUCAAUGCCCAGGGACAUCUACCUUGUUCAGAGCUCCUUAUUAUAUAUUUGCACAGUACCUUACAUUUUCCCCUCUGAGUUCCUAUUACAACUUAUAAUUAUAUAUUUAUGUGAUUAUCUACUUAUUAAAUACUCUUCUACUAAAAUUUAAGAGUGAUAGAACUGAGACAAUAUUUGUGUUUGCUUAGCAUUUUAUAUUGAUGGUGCAGUACCUGGCACAUCGUAGGUGCUCCAUAAAUGCUUGCUGACUGGAUGCAGGAAUGAGCAGGUGGACGAAUGGAAAAUUGAUGGAAUGAAUGAAUGAAUCACCAAGGCUUCAUGAAAAAGGAUUCGGUGUUUUGCAAUGACAUCAAUUCCCUGUGCUAUCUUGGCCAUCGUUGGUGUAAUAGGCUUCCUGGACACCCAAGGCAUAGUCUUUCAGAUGAACUCACAUGGUGCCCAGGCUUCUGUGCACCCUGCCCAGCCCAGCCCCACCUGCCUGGCUAGUCUGUAACUCAGUCCCUCAGUUUGAUUUCUACCACCAUCUCUUACAAGCGGGAAUUGCUGAUUUUCUCUAAUUAAGGCUGGAAGGAUGGCUUCCUGAGUGGGUAAUAGAUUUCCAGAGUUCAGCAUUUCAUCUGCGCAGCCCACAUGCACUCAGAAACGGGGCACAUUCAUUAAGAGAACGGCCAGACGGCUUCCUCUUUGGGUGCUUGUUUGCCUACAUUUAAUGAAUGAAUAAAUAACAUGCCUAUUCAUUACCAACUUUUGAGUGGAAAUAAUUGCUGGGUUUCCUCAUUUGCUUGGAAUAAUGUUCUCUGCGUUUGGAGCGACUUCUGUCUCGGUCACGGCAGUAUUUCCUGGUCAAGGGGCCAGAGGUGUCCUCCAGGGGCUGACGUUCACCUCCGGCUCACCUUUGAGAGAAGCAAUCACUCUUCUUGUCCUCCAGGGUCCCAUCCAGUGCACUGGGAAUGCGCAUUUGUGGAAGGAGACCCUGGGACCCUAAGAAGUAAAUGAGACUGGUAGGCCCAUUAAUUCUCUGAGUACACCCUGGGGGCACCUGGGGCAUUAUAAUGUAAUUACUACUAAGAAAGCCUCAACUCCUACGUACUUUGCCAAAAAGCAUUUUAUAGACAAGGAAGUACUGGGUUGUGCCCUCUCUGUGCACACGGGCCUAACUUUGGCCACAGGAAGCCAAGAGGACCAUUAUGGUGACUCUUGGUUGACGAGGAGCAAGUGACCCUUGAGAAGUCAUCACUCAUCUCUUAGUAAUGAAUCAUUUGCCAAGUGCCGAUGCUGGGCAUGAAUUAAGGAGUACCGGAUCCCUCAUCUCCAUCCUGGAUCUGUACCAUUGUUGCCCAAAUGGUCUCACAGCCUCUUUUACCACCUCUGCCAGUUUAUGUUCUCCAUGGUUGCGCAGUGGUCUUUCAAAAACACACAUCUAAUCACAACACUCCCCUAUCCCCUACUGAGAAUCCAGAGCUUCCCUAUUGACUGUAGGAUUCAGUACACAGUCCUUUGCAUGAUGCACAGGGCUUCCAUGGACCAAUUUGGCUACGUGGAGUUGAUUUUCUCCUUCAGCCCUUAUUAGCUUGCAAGCUAAUUGACCUCGCUGUGCCUCAGUUUCCUCAUCUGUCAGCUG
ensembl:lncRNA